GCACUGCUGAGGAAUCCCAAAAUAGGACGAAACGGUCGUCCAGUGC
rfam:Schistosoma mattheei strain Denwood, Zambia genome assembly, scaffold: SMTD_scaffold0012117